UACGUAGGGGGCAAGCGUUGUCCGGAUUUAUUGGGCGUAAAGCGCGUGUAGGUGGCCAAUCAGGUCCGCUGUGAAAACUCGAGGCUCAACCUCGAGAUGUCGGUGGAAACCGCUUGGCUAGAGUCCGGAAGGGGCAACUGGAAUUCUCGGUGUAGCGGUGAAAUGCGUAGAUAUCGAGAGGAACACCUGCGGCGAAGGCGGGUUGCUGGGCCGACACUGACGCUGAUGCGCGAAAGCCAGGGGAGCGAACGGG
rnacentral:rRNA from 1 species